AGAGUUUGAUCAUGGCUCAGGACGAACGCUGGCGGCGUGCUUAACACAUGCAAGUCGAGCGGAAAGGCCCCUUCGGGGGUACUCGAGCGGCGAACGGGUGAGUAACACGUGAGCAACCUGCCCCUGACUUUGGGAUAAGCCUGGGAAACUGGGUCUAAUACCGGAUAUGACCUGCCUUCGCAUGGGGGUUGGUGGAAAGUUUUUCGGUCAGGGUUGGGCUCGCGGCCUAUCAGCUUGUUGGUGGGGUGAUGGCCUACCAAGGCGACGACGGGUAACCGGCCUGAGAGGGCGACCGGUCACACUGGGACUGAGACACGGCCCAGACUCCUACGGGUGGCAGCAGUGGGGAAUAUUGCGCAAUGGGCGGAAGCCUGACGCAGCGACGCCGCGUGGGGGAUGACGGCCUUCGGGUUGUAAACCUCUUUCAGCAGGGACGAAGCUUACGUGACGGUACCUGCAGAAGAAGCACCGGCUAACUACGUGCUAGCAGCCGCGGUAAUAC
rnacentral:rRNA from 1 species